rnacentral:tRNA from 1 species
AGUCCCCUAGCUCAGCUGGUUAGAGCGCCACCUUGACACGGUGGAGGUCAGCGGUUCGAGUCCGCUGGGGACUACCA